CUGGUUCUUUGAAAAGAAUAGAAAGAGGUAGAAAGGAGGUAGGUGGAUUGAAGAUGGUGGUGAUUCACCACCACACAGAUGCUUCCUACAAACCUGCUUGCAAAAUUCUGCAGUGGUAAGUAAAAUAAAUAUCUGUUUUCUAAAAGGAAAUUGACAACAGAAAAUCAGGGUGCUGUUAGGUUGAGUUGCUGGGCUCUUUGGAUAGAAUUAAGGAAAUUUAAAGCACAUGAGUGUAUGAGAUCCAAAUUUUCCAUUAAAGUUGUAACUGGACGUCUUGCCUGUGUAAUUAGUUUAGAAAUCCAAUAUCCUACCUUUUCAUAAAUCUAACUCAACUUCAACAAAAUUGAUUUUGCAAUGACUGUGCCCCAUGAGGACAUGAAUGAUACAUUCAUUCAUACAAUCCUUAAUUAAAACAUCCCACAAAGUGCCAACAACCCAAUUUUAGAUUUGAUGAGCACAGAAAACCAAAAAAUGAAAGGAAAAAGAAAAGUUUCUGAUCAAUAAAACCUGCAAAGGGAUUGUGACUGUUGGGAUAAUGCUUGGGUAUUUCCCCAAGGGAAGUGAUUAGAAGAAUGUAUUUUGCGUAUUAAGGUUAAGGUACAGCCAUCAGGUUAGAUGCUGACCUUUCGCGGUUGUCCAGAGGACUAAGGAUGAUGGGAGGUAUGGAUAGUCCUGUCCUUUACCCAGUGUUGAUCUAAAGGAUCUAUUUCUUCACCUGGCACAUACAAUGAAAGAGCUACAUAAUUUCUUAUGAACUUUUAGUCCUGCGUUUAAUUUUUAUUUGAAUCCUACGUUUCCGAUUGUCAUAAAAUAGGAAUUGUUAGAUAUAAUUCCACGCUUCAAAUAGGCAGCUGCUGUGAAAUAUUUUCAUCUGCAAGACAUUGCAAAUUGCUUCAUUUAAGGCUAUUUACACUGUCAAGCUAACUCUUCUUUCUUUUUAGUUACACUAAGCAUUACAUUUUUUAGGCUAAUGGAUUGAUUUAUUUUUAUAUAUUGGAAUGGAAAUUAUACAGAGGAGCUUAUCUGCUUCUAUAAGAGUUGCUUGUGAAAGUGCGAUGACAAUGAAUGCUAGCAGUGUAUUUGAAGGGGUUUUGUAGAGCAUUAUAUGAGAAAUUCACAUUAUCUGAGGGAAGCCAAGGACCAUGACUGAAACAACAAGAUAAUUUGUGGUGUAAUCAGAAUUAAGCUAGGUAAAAGAAAAAGUAGUGUGGAAAAUUGAAUGAAGCAGUACUUUCAGGCUUAGAAGGAGCACGUGUCGGAGUAUAUCAAAUGUUGUCACUUUGUUUUAUCCUUCAGCUUUGCGUUCAAUAACUUGUUUCUGAGCUGGAGGCAAGGCAGAGUUUGUGUUUUUUUGCAGCAAGGAUUGCUGUUCAGAAAGUCUGUGUGACAAUCACUGUGUAUUCUUGACCAAAAAAAAACACAACACAUUGAAGCCCAGAGUGUAAACUAAGAGCUCGGCAGUAACAAACUGGGAGAGCAGGAGCUUCAGCCAAUUAGAAUGAGCUGCACAGAGACCUCAUCACAGUAGGGAAACAGAGCAGGAUGCUGUCUACCUUGAGUGGAAAAAGUAAACUGUGGCUCACAGGCAGCAUUUGGAGGAGACACUUCCCUGUCUUAAUAACAUGUAACAAGACAUGUAACAUUCCUUUGGUAUGUCAAUGAGUAUUUGUUAAUUAUAGCGCAAACUAAAAUUGUGGGACUGUGCAAAAUGCAUUUGGUGCUAUGCAACUGCAGAACACGGCAUCUGACAAGAAGACAGCAUCAGUCUUCUGUGAACAGUCAGUUUCCUUUCGCGUGGAACAGGGCAGGGAAAAGCAAAGAGCACCCAGCCUGGAGAGUAGCACCCCAAGAGCCUCUUUGGGAAAGUGAGGAGAGGAAAAGAGCUGCAUUUAAAGGAGAGUCUGCCUCUUACUUCCCCUCUGUGGGGAACAGGGAACUCUAAAGGGAAGGGUUUGGGGUGUUACCUCCCAGGUGUUCUCUCAGCUGUUCUUGGGGCUGUUGAUAGUGUGAGAGAUGGAAAAGGCUGAAGUGGGUCCAGGGAUACGUUUGAUUGGCUCUGUGGUGAUUUAAUCUGCGAGUCUUCCACUCACCAUGCUGGGAAGAAAACUAAGAAUGGUUGGCCUGGGUUAGUGCUAUGGUGGUAGUGGGUUCAUGAAUUGACUGGGUGAUCUUAGUGAUCUUUCCAACCUUAAUGAUUCAAGAUUCUUUGCCCUGCGUUGGGAACCAGCCAGAGGCUGAGCACUCUGAGAGGGCAUAUCUAAGCGUUAAUCAGGUAUGUUGUUGUUGUUUUUUUUUUUUAAUUCAUUCUUAAUGGAAUCCGACAUUUUCAAAUUUUCUGUGUUUUAUACAAGCCUCUAAGAUACAUCACAACUUUAUGUACAUCCUAAUAGUUUUGCAUUUUAACUGGAUUGGUGUCUGUGUGAAAGCAAGCCAAAGCAAUUGAAAAUGCAACAGGCAGGGUUGUGUGACUGCAACUGCACCACAAAGUUCACUAAGAAAUCUCUAUAAAGUAGAAGAAUAAGAUUGCUGUUAAGGGUUGUUUUCCUCUCACUUUUGGUCUCCUUCUGUAGACAUAGACACUUGAGUGAUGCCAGCGGAUUUGUCAUUAUAAGUAAUGCCUUCCCGUCUAUAUAGCACUUAUCUUCCCUGCCACAGCUCAUUGCGUGUUUUCUUAAUUGAAUUUGUAAACCUUCUGGAAUGGUUUCACACAAACACCAGGUGUUGCCGUGCCUCACUUUGAAUGGGGCUGUGCACAUUACUGAGGUGCAUACUAAUAGCAAACAUAAAUCUGAGGUGGCCUUGUAGGGUAAUGAUGUCCUGUGCAUUUGUGCAAAGAGUGCAAAUACUCUUACAUAUAUUCUAGUAUUCCAUGACUUUCAUUGGUUUUUAAUGCCUUCAGGGAGUGCAAAUUGUGAAUUUAAUUUGGGAGUUUUGUAGAAUUGCCAGUCCUUCAUGAGCCUGGUAGUUAUCCUGCAGUUUGGUUGUGUAUGCCCUGCAUGAGGUCCUUCUCACUGCAGUGAUACAGAGUCCUUGGAUCCCUAUUGGUGAGGCCUCAUCUAUGUCCACGACUUGAUACGGGAAAGGCUGAGCCUUCCUGGGGUCCGGAAGCAAGAGAUACAGAGUAUGUGCCGUAUUUAGCCUCACAGACCUUGAAGGAUGGAAAGUAAAAGCAAUCUCAACCACUUCUGGUAACUCCAUGUAGUAUUGCAAUUUUGAUGAAUAAGCAAUGGAGUCAGCUUGAGGACGUAAAAAUAAUUGAGUGAUAAGCAUCCACUUUUUUAGCCAAGAGGUUUUAAAAUCCAUCUGCAGAACUAACUUUGUCAAAUGACAUGUUUCAGCAUCUAUCAGUCUUUGUUCUUCUGCAGCUGCCAUGUUGUGAGUAUGGCACCUGGGAAGGUAAGAGAGCACACUUCGGAAGUGCUGUUGAAGAAAAAGCUUCUCUAUAGAACUGGUGUAGCUGCUGAUUAUGGAUGCUGCACUGCAUUUGCAUUUUGUCCCAAUUAACCUGCCACCUUUUCUAAAAUGAAGCUUGUACAAAUGUUUCCAUGCAUGACUACCAAAUGUCAUUGCGGCUCAGUGCACUCAACAGAGGGUUGGCUGUUUUUCAUCUUCUUUGUUAAGGCAUAAAAUUGAUUACUUAUACAUUAUUAGAGCAAGUUCAUCAAUUUAAUGCUAUAAUAAAAUUGUGGUUGAAUGUAUUUUAAAGUGUUGUAUGUGAAAAAAAUGUAUGUAGUUGGACAUUGUUGAAUUGUAGGAACUGGGCAGAGAGCAAAACUAGAAGCUGCUCAAGGCAUUUAAUGACUGUGUUAACAUUCCUGGUAGUAAACGACAAGGUAAUUUAGGGGGGAAAAUAAGCCAACAAAAGUGGUUUAAGCAAUUAUAAUAAUGUCAUAAAGUGAAAAAAAUAAAAAAACACAUCCAAAUGGAGGAUAGGUACAUCUCAGAGUAUCCAAGUAAACUGGUUACUCAGAUUAUCAGUGUCUCUUUAAGUAUCUCUAAUUAUGUAGUAUAAUAUAGGAAUUGGCAUAUGUAACUGUUCAAAGCUAUGCAGAGAAAUAUAAACUCAGUUGGACAGUGAAGGAAUGUAUUUACAGGUGUUGAAGGUGCCAUGGCUACAGAAUAUAUUAACAGAGCUGAGAAAAAAAACCACAAGGAUUUAGUUGCUGUUUUUUCCACAGUUGCUUCUCUGUAACAAAUUUGUGCUGUGCCUAAAUUACUAGAGAGGAAAUUAUGGAGUGGAUGGUUGUACUUGGCUUAGUAAUGCAUUAAUAAAACUAGCAUUUGUUGGAUUAAUAGUAAUGCAUUAAUAAAACUAGAAUUGGUUGGAUGAUCACACAGUGAGGCUGAUCAGUAAGGUGCCAAGAGCUGGUGAUCCAGUUCUGCUACUGUGUUGCGAUGCCUCUGGAUGAAAAGAUGUUGGUGCUUCCAUGUGAUAAUGUCUGCUGUAUUUGGAUGUGCCUGCUCGGUGUCUUGGUUUUCCGGAGAACUCUGGGAUUUCGGUGUAGAAGACAGGACUUGCUCAGGCAGAGGCAGUGAAAUUGGAAGGGUAUCUUUUAUUUUGAAGUUUUUGCUCUGAGGAAAUACCUGUACUGAACAUGAGCCUGAGGACUGAAAGUAAGUCAUGCUGGAUUUUAGAAAAACAGAUUCCAGAUCAUAUGUUCACACAUGGAUGAAAAGGUCAAGUGGCCAGACAUCUGGUGUACAAAUCCAUGUCUGUUAGUCACUGAGCUUUCAAAUGGCAAUCUGUUGAAAGGCUGCAAGAAGAGUAGCAAGUCAACAGGAGUCAGUGGCAGCAUUUGGGAGUCGGAACUUGAUACUCUGGUGUGGGUACCCAAUCUCUGGAUUAAAGCUGGAGCCUGGGAUAGGGGAUUCCAAGGCAUUAAGUAAAAAAAGCAAAAAAAAAAAAAAAAAAAAAAAAAAGCCAACAGAGCUCACUGUUAAUCAGAUCAUUAAUGUUAACGUUUCUCAAUAUGAUUGCACUCAAAACACAUUCAUGCAAAAAUUAUCCCUUCCUCACUGAUUGCCUUGACAUCUUGGCAGUUGCGUUUCUGCAUGUUAAUAACAGCUAUGUCUCCUUUCUGAGUCUCCUCUUCAGCAAGACAGCAAAAUUUAGCGAGGGAAAAGAGUUAUAUGCAAAUCCUUGUCCUCCCAUUCCUCUGUUAAUUUCACUGAGCAUUGUGCCCACGUGUUCUGCUGGGAUGGUCAGCUGCAGCCCAGGUCUACGCUGGUGGUUCAGUAAGCCUGAGUCCUGCUGCACGGCACUAUGGGAAGUCUUGUAGCAGCUUUGAGGAUAAAUGUGCAGCCAGUCAGUAUGUUUCCUUUGCCUUCAGUGGGUUUAUAUCAGGCUUCUCCUGCUCUAAAAAUAACCCCAUCUACCUGCUAUAUGUUUUUCCCCAAAGUCUGAAUGUGCCAGAGAUGGCAGAGGUUUGGGAUUUUACUGUGCCGCACUUGAGUGGAACCUGGACAAACUUGGAUGGGGAUUUUGGAUGUUGAUGGGCACUAUAUUGUUCAUUCCUACUGGAAAUGCUUGAUGUGAGACUCAUAGGUUUUCACGUGGCUCAUUCCCUUUGGAGUGGGGAAGACCUACUGUAUGCUGUGCGUGCUCUUUCUACCAGAAUGAAAAUAGAGUGGGAAUACCUUUUUCAUUUACCUAAUUGCAAAUAAACUCUCUGUAGUUGAAUGGUAAGGGUUCAAGCCUACAUUUGAAACAGGCUGCCCAGGGAGGUGGUGGAGUCACCAUCCCAGGAGGUGUUCAAGAACCGUAGAGAUGUGGCACUGAGGUACAUGGUUAGUGGGCAUGGGGUUGGGGUUGGACUUUAAUUGAAUCUUUAACUGUCUUUUCCAACCUUAAAGAUUCUGUGAUUCUGUGACAAGGGUACUGUAUCCAGUGAACUGGAAAACAUAGCUAGCUCAGCAUGGAAGAGCAGAGAGUUUACAAUACAUAGAUGCGAAUCUCACGUUUAUUUUUGACGUUUUACAUCAUAAACCUCUGAGAACCUGACCACUUGGACUUCUAUUUGGCCACCUACAAAGCAAAUCCUAGACACUCAGUGCUGUUAGAAAGCUCACCCAUAAAUAAAUAAAUAAGAGUAAUUUAUUUACCUUAAAUACUUAGGGGUAUGUAAAUUCACCAGAGCUACUUAAGCUGUACUGACAGUUUUUGUUGGGACAGGGGCAAAGAGAUCAAGCAAAAUAGACUGUCAGUACUCUAUGCAUGGUUAAAUAAUUAACUGUAUUGAUUCCUUGAGCAUUUAUUUUCAGCAGAAGUGUGGAGUGUUACCGCUGCUGACUCUGUUUUAUCAAGGUGUGGGAUUAAGGAGGAGGCAAAGCAUCCCACUGCUUUGCUGUUCCCAGCUGAACACCUCCUCAUGGAUGGCUGGUGAAACUGGGAUGUAGGGUGGAUGUGAAACACUGAGGUUUUCUCCUGAUUGAUGAGAAGCCAUCUUCACUGAACACUGUGUGGAACAGCAAACAUCUGACAGGAGAUCACAAGGAAGAAUAAACAGAUAUCAUGGAAAAGAUAGGGUUGCUAUCACCUAUCUGGUGUGGAAUGACAUGCGAUAUCAGGAGGUGAGACUGCACUGAAGGGGAUAUUUGCUGUCUGUGACAUACUGGACAUGUGGCUGAUAUUGUGCUUCAAAUGUCUGUACAGUUGACAGGAAAGACGUAGCUCUAGAACAGAGAUUGUCCCUGAUCUGGCAGAGAAAUUGUCAUAGUUCAUCUGCAGCAUCUUAGCACGUGAAGUAACAUGAAGUACCUGUCCUAUUCUGGGCAGGCGGAGGAUUUAGCUGUUAUUUCUGAGGAUGGUUUAGAAUGAGAAGAAGUGUCUGUUGCAACGCACAACAUGAGUUUUGGUGGAAGAUGCUGCUGUCAAAGGGAAAAGUUCAGGAAUUCACAGAGUAAUGUUGUUUAAACUCUUAUGUGCAUUCGACUGUUUAUUUCUGAAGUAUCCCUAAGUUUUAUUGUCUCACAGCAGAGGAAAAAAAGGAGAAGAUUCUCACUCAAGAAGGUAAAAAUUUAUAAAAUCUCUCCUUCUCAGUGCUUGCUGUAAAUUUCACAGUUAUGCAUAUUUUGUCACAUCCUCCCUAAUUUAGCGGUUGGUGGCUGCCAGCUGUUGGGGACUUAGUGAAUAAUACAUAGAAAUAAGAGUUCCAGAGGAAUAUAAAUUCCCUGUUCCCUAGGAAGAUCCAAGUACUGCUCACAGUCUUUUAACUCAUGCUCAAUAUUUUUCACCAAUUUUCUUUUCCCUUCCUGGAUGGUUAAUGGAAAUAAAGGAAAAUCAAAGUAUAGCGUUCAGCCAUGAGCCCUGAAAUACGAUUUUGACUGCUCACUGGAGGUAAGUGCAAAUGUGCUUGCUGAAGGAACCUGGCCCAAGAGGUAUGAUACGUAAGCAUAGCCAUGAGGAUGAAUUUGUGCAUUUAAAUGUAGAAUGUACAUAACUGUAAGCAAAGCUUGGUCACUCAGGAGUUCCUGGUAAACAAACACCCAUAUGUUGUCCAGAAUUGAUUUGCAUAUUCAGGAACAGAUCGAUGAGUGACAUUUUACAUUUUCCUCACCUCUAGGACUGAAAAAAAAAUCUGGCUGUGACGUAAAUGUAGAAUGAAGCAUAUUUAGAGAGUGCAGCAUCAUCUAUGCUUCGGAAUUUGUCUGUCAGGCCCAGGAGACCACCACAGCUCUCCUAUGGGGACUGGUGUCAGGUAAAGUGGUGGCACAAAGGGCUGCAGGUGUUCCAGAAGCACAGGCUAUUUCCAACAGGAUAAAUCUUCUGUGAUGUGAAGUCACCAUGCCGUGCACUGACUCAAGAAGAAUAAGACAGAGGGAGAAUCUGCUGUAGCAUUCCAAAUGCAAACCACCAGUAAAUGCUGACUGGUUUAGACUGCAGUAUGUGAUGUCACACGCAUAACAGAGAAACAUGAGGGUUCCAGUGUUCAAUUAAGAUAUACAGAUAAGUAAGUCUUUAUCACUUUGCAAAAAUUAACCAUUUUGUCCCCAUUUUACCCGAUUUCAACUUCAAUCUUCUUAUUUGUUUCAAUUUUAAUCAGAAGAAAAUGGAGACAUUAAAAAAUCAACUCAUUAAAUAAGCGCCCAUCUUAAGCAGAGCAAUAGACAAAUGGCAUUCUUUCCACAAUACAUUUCAAGUUGUAUUGACAGUACUGCGGUAUAGAGGAAAACUUGGGAAAUAAUAGUGUCCAUCUAGUGAUUCUCAGUCUGAACGAGGAAAGUUGGAAAGAGAAUCAGUGUGAGAGGAAAAAGUAAUAAAUACUAGAUCACAUACAUCCAGAAAUGUGUCAGGUUCAUAUUUCCACUUUUGCCAAGGCCUGAUUUAUAAUGCAAGAUCUGCCACUCAAUCACAUGAUAAAGGUAAAUGCAUCUAUAUAUAAAAAUGCAUACCUAUAUCUAUCGAUUUAUCCAUCAGUGGAUUUGAGAUCAUUGAUUGCUUCAUGGUUGUUAUCAAAAGAAAUCCAGCUAAAGGUGGACCACAGUACAUUAAUCAUUCAAGCUCAGGUACAGAUCAAUAUGUUGUGCAACACUUUCAUCUUUUCCUUAGAAAUAAUGUUCAGAUAUCUCCCAGCCUGCCUGAUGUCUGCAAAAUCUCCUAAGAUACUAGUAAAGAUUUGUCUUGGUCCAUUUUGAUUUCAGUGCACAAUGGACAGUAUAACAAUAUUAUCCAUUGACAACACUGUAUGAAGUGUUUGCUUAUUAUUUAUGUAUGGACAGCUGUGAAAGCAGUGAUAAAGCUCCAGCAGCCCAAGACUGUUGUGUAGGACCACACGGUGCUCCCAAGGAUGCAGGCUACAUCUGAUUUUAUCGUGUUUGUAACUCCCGUGAGGAGUCUGGAAAUUGUGAAAUGAUUAAUAAACAUGGGUUGAAGCUUGAAACUUUAAAAUUCAAGUUACCUUCUUUUUCCCCACAGAUACUGUGGGGAAAAUCCAAGAGCACUUAAAGAGCUCCAUGUAUAACAUUGUGUUUACUGGUACUGAUAAUGCCAUGUGGGACCAGAGCUAUUUGGCAUGCCUGAAAAUCAAAUCCAAGGUACUGAUUACCCUCAGACUCUUUAGCAGACCUGCACCUUCAUGGCCUCUUCACAUUAGUUGAUUUGUUUUGGUGUUGUUUUUUAACAUAUAACAGACAUGAGAGUUGAAGAAACAGCAGACAGGAAACAGGAAAAUAAAACUGAAAUAUGCAGCUAUUCUCUCAUGUUAAAAAAUAAAUAUUUGUAAUGAAAAGUUAUGCCAUACAUUUUCCCAGAUUCAAGGCAUUAUAUCAGAUCAAAAUGAGAAUGAACCCACUUCUAUUCUUUGUUACCCUCCUGGACGGAAUGAUUCCUUACCUUGUCAGUUUUAGUGUGCAACCUCUCACCAGGCAAGUCCCUGCCAGCACCCCAUACCCAUUACUUCAGAUAUAAGCCUCAUUUCCAGACUUCUUUUUACACUUUCUACCUACCUUGGGGAGGAUGCUUUCCCCAGCAUUGCCUUUCAAUGAGAAGCUCACUCAAUUACCGUGGUGCAUCUUCUUGAAAUCUCCAGCAUCACAGCUCAGCCCAGCAGUAGCAAACAUCUGUCAGGUUCCUCUUUGAAACUCUACUGUGCUGAGAAGCCAAAGAAGCCUUUAGCUGGGAAAGUUGAUCGAUAGUACAGCUUUUCCCUUUUUUCGCUCUGCAACUUUUUAAUCUGCUCUGUAUAGUAACAGGCAGCCCCUGGUCCUGGCAAUGCCUAAGGAGCGCAAAUAAUUCAGUAAUAUAAAUACCAACGAUACACGUAAUAAACUUAACCCAGCCAAAAAUAAAUGCAAGAAGUGGGCAGAUGGAAAGAAGGGAAGAGCUCAUGAGAUUUUCACAUAUCCGGAAGUCAUUUCAAAAUGUCUUGCUUUAAAUUAUUUGUUCUGCAUGAUAUACUAUGCGCUCGAGUAGCAACUAAUCCAGUAUGGAUGGGUUUCAUGACAAAUUCACACUGAACUAUUAAAAAUUUUUCUAUUAAAAAUCAUUACUGUAAAUACCUCACAGUGGGCAAACUCUUUGAUUUCUUAAUCUUGUUACAAGUGCACUCUUAGAAAAGUCCUCUCUUGGUAUUAAGUAUUGAUUUCAAUGCUCCAUUUGAAGAAGAUGGAUCCAAAAUAUGUCAAAGUGCCAUAUUUUCUAGAAAUAAUGGAGAAUGUUCUUUGACUAAAAUUAUUCUUUCAUUGCUCUGUCAUUACUCUCUUUUAUAUGUGCCCCAUGGCACCUACUGUCAAACAAAUAAGGCCAUUCACUCCUUCCUUAAUUGUAAAUUUGUAAAAGAUAAUUUAUUUUUAUUACUGUUUAAGCAAGGAGAAUUUAUAGCGUGUAUCCCCCUCACCAUCCCCAAAGCACACUUAGCCCCGAAGGUAAAAUAACUUAAAAUGAGUAUGAAAAUUGAAUUAAAUCAAUAUGUUUUUAUUCUGCUCUGGAUCUUUUUCCACUGUUGUACAAUUAAAAUUCUAUGAGGAAUAUAAUAUUGAAGAAAUAAAUCUUUCAGUGUUUACUCAGACUAGAUUCAAAGAAAUAAAUCAUGAAGAAAAAGGUGAAGCAUCUUCCAAUGAGUGCGUAAGGGAAGUGGUGAAUGGAACAGAACUUCUUAUUCUGUCUCUAGUUACCUGGGAUAAGAGGCCAGUCCCUCCAGUUGUGGUUGUCCUUGGUCUAUUAGUUUGACUUUGAUCCACGAUUCUGAAAGAAUAAUUAAAAACAUGAAGGUAAAUGGCAAAUAGAAGGGCAACAGAACUGAAUGGAAAGAGAUAAAAUCAAAUGAACUUAAAUCUGUUUUCGACACAUUAAUUGAAGCAAAUGCAGUAAUUCAUCUGCAUCUGAAUUUCAUGGAGCAUUCGAUGUGAACCUACAUGAUGGUUUAAAAUAACAUGCUAAUAAUAUGGGAAUUAGCUAAAAAUAAAAGUAAUAUGAAGAAUAGCAAAAUGUGAGGCAUCAAAGGGGAAGUAUCAGAUGAGAGGAGUGGUUGAAACUGAGCUUGUCAAGGACUGUUUUUGUAAUGACCUAGUUAUAAUGUGUAUUAUAUUUUUAAUAAUCUAUAUUUACUCCACCAGCACAAAAUAAGAGUACAUCUGAGAUCUGCUGAGGCACUGUCAGUGCUGACAGCAAUCAAUGUGCUAAUCGGACUGUGUAAAAUUACACAGCCUUGAGGAAUGGGAUUAUAGAUUUGGGGAGUAAAGUAGAAGUUAAGCAGAUGCUGAUCAACAGUACAUACUUCUGCUGCAAAAUGAGACUUUAUCAGUUAAAAAUGACAAAGUGAUAAAGAUCUGUGAACACUAGCUCAAGGAAGGUCUGCCUUAUUAGCAGAUUAUAGGAUGACACUAAGCCUUAACUUCAUCAGCCAUGAAGAUGUCACCUUCCAGGAGAUAAAGUGACAGAGAACAUGGGUGAUACAUCCCAUCAUCUGCAACUCAGGCUGUGUAAAGGUGAGCUUACAAGGGAUAUAACAAAGAUAUUAGAAUGAUCUGAGGAAUGAAGAACUCAUCUGAAAAGACAGGAGGGCCUCCGUCCAUUCCUCCACAGGUUUAGCUUAGGAAAGCUAAAAGCAAAGAAGAUAUGUUUACUGCCUGUAGAAACAGCUGACAUAAACAUUAAAAAAAAAUAAAAUAAAUGCAAACACUACUUAAAAUUAAAAAAAUAAUAAUAACACUAGUAAAAAUUAACAUAAAUGUAAUCUUUCAUACUGUUUUUAACCUGGAAAUUAGUAAAAGUAAAAACACCUAUCAAAGAUGAAAGACUCUUUCAUGGGCUUGCUGUUGGGGGAAAAAUAAAAAGCACCACUGUAAAGUAGAAAAGAGACUGUUAGAGAUGUUUAUAAAAAGGAUUAUAUCACGUGGUUGUCUGGAUUUAGGGAUUUAAGAAGCCUGUGUUUGCCCUGAACAUCACAAGAAAGACCUAUGAAAUGGAUGUGCUAUAUAAUCCACCUGCUGAUCAGAUCACUGAAUUUGUCCUAGGACUGAAAAGCCACAUGUUUCUUUUUUAUUUUAAAGGAUCUCUACACAUAUGGAACAUCCCAGAAAAGCACAGAACAGAUAGCUGCUAUCUGCAGAAUGCUGAGAGUUAUUGAUUGUUUCAUUAUUGGUGAGUAAAUGAGGUGAUAGAAUAAUUUUUGUCUACAAACUACAAAAUAUUAAUUUAUUUUCUAGGAAAAAACAGUAUUUGGGUUUAGAAAAUGCAUUUGUUUUUUUAUUGCAACAAAAGCAAAAUACAGAAAACAUGGAGGAUGGUUUUUCAGUUGUUUUGUUUUAGGAGUUUGAUUGCUUAUUUAUGGCGAGGUUUAGAAGGCAGUGGCUGUUCAAACAAUUGGCACAUCUCCAAUAAAAUAUUUCAAGAAUAAGUGUACAACACUAAAACUUUCAUCUCGGUAAUCAAAUAUAAUCAUGACUUACAUUACACAGUUUGCAAUUAUUGGCCUAAAUAUUCAUUAAAGAUCCACCUAAACAUAAAUAUGCUGCACACAAGUUGGCACCAGCAGCAGCUGGGAUGCUUUGUUUCAGUCCUUAGAGGUCAUAGGCUUAAUCACUGCAUUCCUGUUUCCACUGUUGCAGAUUAACUUGAUUUACAGGAAUUCUGUUUAUAUACACAAUAUGACAUUGUCCAGCAAUUUACAGCUGAGAGGUGGUUGUAUGGGCCAUGAUUAAAAGGGUAGCACUAUAGGAAUGUCUUGCCCAUAUCUCCAUGGACUUCAUUCAAAUAAGCUGAAUGAAUAAUUCUUAUCAAUAAAAGUAUUUAACAACUGUGAAUAAAAGAGACUUUACAAACUGCAGAAAAAUGUCAGCCAUGGAGCACUAUGGAUUCAGUUUUAGGGCUGAUUCAGUGAUUACCAUGGCCAAGCAGUGGCGCCAGGUAAGACCAAACAGAACACACUAUUCUUGUGCAGGUGAUUACCUUCCAUUAUUAUAUGAUGAAAAGCAGAAUUGCUCUCAGUUCUUACCUACUGGUUUACUGUGAAUUCAAAGAAAUUGCUUCACCUUUUCAUUAUUUUUCUUCUGUCUGUAUGAAAUGAAAUUAAAGUUAUAAUUUACAAUUGUCUAGCUGAGCCAAUGAAGAGCAGUGAAAUCACCGGUGCAAUUAUUUUCAACAGAGCUGUGUCAGAUGUCCCACAUUUUAUUUAUUUUCCUAAGCAUCAACAAAAUCCCCCUUUCUGACAUAGCUGCUCUUUAAUCAGAAUAAUCCCAAUUAUGUUGUCCAUGGAAUGGAGCAACAGAGAUCUAAACUCUUUUUUUUUUUUUUUUUUUUCCCCCAAUAAAGCAACUCAUCUUCACAUCAUUAUAAGCUGACAUUCCAAAAUAGACUGCAUAGAAUUUUGAGGGUUGAAAGAUAUCAUUCCAGUGUGAAGCAUUUUCAUAUUGUAAUUUAUCCCAUUAAAAAUCCUGUUAUUAAAAAUAAUCGGAAAAAGGAAUAAAUAAAUAAAUCAAGCACAUGCUUUCCACUUACCUUGCCAGUAGACAGUAUAUAAAUAAUCAAGUUUUAAACUUAUAGUUUCUUAGCAAUUCUGAACAGACCUAAAAUGCCAAAACAGGUAAUUCUUAGGAAUAACCAGAACAGCAACUUCAAAACAGUGACGUUAUUGCCGACAGUCACAGAGCAUGGAGUUGAGAUGAACUCUGAAGUCUGUUCGCUGUAACAGUGCACUUGACAUCUUUUUCCCCUGUAAAUCUGGCAAUAGGAUAUAUUACAUUACUUACUAAAGUUUAUAGAAACAGGCAGAAUGAAGGAGAAUUUAUCACAAAACCUUAUAUAACAAGCCUUAAAGAAUUCACGAUUUCACUAGUAAAUUGCUGUUUCAGUGGAAGUAUCUCAGACCUCUGAGAAAUUUAAAUAGCACAGAUUUCUGAGGGGCUCAUAAUGCCUUCAGACACUUAGACUGAUAAGUGUAUAAGCCAAUAGUUUAAAAUCAGAUAAUCAGCUGUUGACUUCAAAUAAGACACCAAGUGCAGGCUGGCUUUUACUGUGGCAUAUAGCAGCAGUAUUUCCAAGAACAAGCAGUUCUUGUAGGAUCAGUAUUUUCAGCCUUCAUUUCACUUGCUUCUCGUUGCUCAACAGUAUUCAUUCCAUCCUCCAUUACCUGCUAAUAUUCAGCACCUCUCUGGACAAGUCCAGGAUGCAAAAUGAGCGGGGACUUCAUUAUGGCAUUAGCUGGAAAAUUUACUUAUCAAAAAUCAAAUCAACAAAAAAGACAAAGAAAGGUCAUCUACUCUGUUUGGGAAGGACUGCUAUAAAUGUUAAAUGACGAGAACUUUUGUCUACAAGCAUAACUUAUUUAUUUUUACAUUAAAAUCAACUGCAUAUAAUUGACUAUCAACGCACCUAUUUGGAUCAGUAGCCCCUUCCACACUAAAUUACAGAGGACAACUGCCAGCCUGGCAAUCUGCAAUCUUUAACGUUUCACUGUUUUUUAAUUUCUCUAUUUUAACAGGUGACAGCAAUCUCAAAUCAAUACAAAGAGAUGCUUUUCUCCUAAUCAUCAAUCCUCUUCAUGUAUCAGUAGCCAGGUGUCACAACAGCCAGUGAGGCAGGUCGGACAUGGGAAGCUGCUGGAAAAAGAAGAGAGAAUUAUGAACAACUUAGUAAAGAUCACAGAGCAGAUUGGAAUAUCCUUCCUUGCACUUGCUUUCUUUGUUGUGAACAAGCACAGUGUAACAAACACUGUUCUGGAUUAACAAUUUAAAUAAUAAUAAUAAUAAUAAAUGAAGAGCUCAGUUAAAAAUUGAGUUCCUUAUUUUAUUUUUAUUUUUAAAAUGGCGAUUCUUUUUAUUCAGUAAACGCAAGUAAAAUCUGAAAAGCAUGAGUUGGAGUUGGACACCCACAGAUUUGUUGAUAUCUGGCUACUUGUAUGCAUUCAUACCUUAGAAAUUAGCAAAGUAUUUUAUUAAUGCUUACCUUUAGAAGACAGGAACUUUAAAAGACUUAAACAACUGUGAUUCCUAUUUCCACACCUUUCCCAGCUGGAAUUUUUAUGAAGGUUACAACCAAAAUAACCCUCUUUCUUGAAGCAUCUGACAAAAACAGAAGCAGAUUGAUUGAUGUAAUGGACACAUUAAUGACAGAUCAUUAAUUGCUCUCACUUCAUAUUAAUUACUAUAUAAUAUACAGUCAGAUAUGCUUUGAUAUUAAAACAUUGUGGAGAAAAUUCAAAACUUAUUAACUCUUUCUCAUCUUUCAUCUUGAAAUCAAUAUAUUUCAAAUUCCAACUAACAGCUUUUACAAUCAUCGUUUAAAGAAAAUACAUUUAGGUUGCUCUUCUUUUGUCUAAGAUCUUACUUUCUUGAAGGACACGCACUUUUUUCUUCUACUUUCUUAUUUUUCUUUCCUUCUUUCAACUCUCCAUUAAAAGCUGACUUUUUUCCCGUUUCUCCAAAUAUGAAAAUUUUAACUAUAUGAAAGUUUUAACUAUGUUUUACUAUCUUAUUUUUAGUGUAUUUCACUGAUUCAUAAUGCUGUAAUCUUCUUCUUUUUCUCCUUCCAGUAUCUGGCAGUACUCCUCUUCCUUCAUCUAUCAAAGCAGCCUGAAUUAUUGAGGCUCUCUUUCAAAUUUUGCCUUUUUUUCUGUCAGACCUAGUUUUUGUUGCCAAUGUUUGUUGUUUUUUUCCCCCCCCCCCACUGUUUCCAGCUGGACAGGGUUACAGAUCAACAGUUAUUAACUUGGUACAAGUCUGAAAGUGAAUUAGCAACCAUUGCUUUUUUGCACUAAAGAACCUGUUGUUCUGAUUGGUCUCAUUAAGUCUUAAAUCUUUUUGCACAUCAGAUUUUUGGAAGGGAAGUGAUUAAAAAAAAACUUCCCUCAUACUCAGCUGGGAUCUUUCUUCAGAUGUUUGGCAUCCGUAUUACUGAUGUAGGAAACUAAAAGGUAACUUAUUCUUCCAGCAGACAUUAAAAUUAACUCUCUUUUAUUGCUCUAGUUGGAGAAUGUCUCUCCAAAAAGUCUUAAGACUUUCAACAAGUAAUCUCAAGCAGCUCAAAUAAACAAAACAUACUCUUUCCACACCAGUCACUUCUGUUGGUAUUAUCACAAUUGCACUGAGAAGUCUGUUCCAGCCCAAGGUUAUUGCCAAGCAUGUUAUAGAGCAAGCACAGAAGGAAGUCUGAAGAGAGGGAUUAUAGUUCUAUUGUUAGCAAAUUGCAUUUCCUGGUACCAUUAAAAAUAAUUUAUCUAUCAUUUUUUGUUCUCAGCAAUUGCCAGAUGAGAUGAGCAUCUCAUCUUUAUGAGGUGCUCACUAGGAGUACUGCCUUACAAUCAUGCCCAAGGCCAUUUCAAUACCACAUAAAGAGCAAUGUUACACAAGGUGUUCAACCCAGAAUUGCAGGUAAUGAGCACUUAAUAAAUCCACUUCUUUUUUAUAGUGAAAAGGCUUAAUGAAAGAAAUUAAGUUUCUUAAAACCAGACAAUGGUCCAGCGGUUUGGUUGAGCAGGACAAAUGAUGGUCAAACACCAUUUUAGCACUCCAAUUGAGGCUGCUGUAAAAUACAGCUCCUGAGAUGCACAAGAUCUGGUUCAGUGUCACUGCUGUUAUGCCCAAAAGGAAACUCCGUGGAGAAGAAAACAGUACCAAAGAGCCUUUCAGAAUUCAAGAAUUGGGCCUCUAAAAUAGUUUUGUAUAGAAUUAUAAAUCCAAACACUUUUUUUAAUAUCACAGUGUUUUUUGAGCUUUACUGGAACAGCCAGAUCUAAUCUAUGCACUCACACAUACGUGACAUAUAGGUUAAAUUAACUGAAAUUAUUCAGUUGAUCAAGCAAAAAUUUUGUCCAAAAAAUGAAAUAAAAACCCCAGAGGGUAAAAACACAGCAAGAGCAUUGGAAAGGGUACCUGGAAAUUUUAGCCACAGAAAUAAAUGUACAUCUUUGUUUUGACAGUUCCAUUGAUGGCAAAAUCUGAUUGCUAAAAAUUAUUGUAAAGCAGACUAACUGGAAUGAAAAGUGAGAUUUCUGACUGAUUUACUAGCUGCUUAAAAGAGUAGAAAAUGCUGACUGCUAUGAUAAAGCUCUGCUAACCAUUUUUGUACAGUUCUCCCAGAUGGCAGUACACAUAUUCUAGUUUAAUAGCUGGAAAAUGUAUGUAGUAACUAUCAGUUACUAUCAGUUAUUCUCUAAAACAGAUUUUUAGGGCUUUACCUAUCAUUUUAAAAAGAUACGUCUGAGGAUUCUUCACUAUGAUUUCCAAAUGAAGCACUUCAUCAAAGCCAUAACAUUGUUCUAGCUUACUCACAUCUGUUCAGGGCCAGUCCUAUCCUCCAUCUCCUAUGCUUCUCUAUUCACUGCAGGACAAAUUCAUGUAUCUUUCUAGCACAGACAAACAGUUUCUCUGCAAUACAGGAAUGAAAAUGGGAUGUUAAAAACAUCAUCUUCAGAUAAUUAGAUAAUAAAACAGCUAAUUCAUAACAAAAUACAGUAGUAAGAUUGAUACUAGUUUGUGUUUACCCCUAGAACCAGAAGCAAUUUCUACUGGUUCCUCCAUAAUUUAAAGCACACUGUUUUAAAGCUGUAUCAGUCCUGACAUGGAUUUUGGAUGGAUUCCAUAACAAGCAAAAAUGCAUCUUUGAACUUGCAGGUGUUAAGAUCACAUCUUAAGAGCUGCUCAGAUGGCAUCGGAGAACAAGGCUGGCCUCUUCAAUAUGCCGCUGCAUCAGCCCAUUAUAGAUGCCAACACAAAAUCGGUUUGAGUUUUUUUGUUAGUAAACAUCAAAUAAGACAUUUGUGGAGACAGUAUGCAAUAACUCUGUCACUGUAGUUAAUGCAGUUCCCAUCCAGCUCACGGUGUUUUUACGACCGUAUUCUGCUCCAGUAAUGAAAAAGAGUGGGUCCAUAAAAGAGACAAAGCCAGGUCUGAAAGGCUGAAAAGCAGAACCGUAAAGAAAGUAAAGAGCUGUCAAAAACAAGUCCCUUCAGCAAACUGCACCAAUGCAAUAUGAUGCCUGCACCAUCUACAAUGUAUACGUACUAUGCACAAUGUAUAUACAUCAUGUACAGAAUAUAGACCAUAUUCAGUAUCAACAUGGCAAGAUUCCUUGCUUUGAACUUGACCCUCUCUACAGUGAGCUCAGCUAAGCUCCACAGUGAGCUCAGUGAAGUUUUACUCUUGACUUCAGUGAGGAAGGAGUUGGUUAUUUCUCUGGAUUGGUAACAGCAGCCAAAAGAGGUGAUUCCAGUCAAAACAGGGGAUUAUCUCACCAUACCAAACAGUGGUGCAGUCUCAGCUUGAAUACUGGAUGCAGUUUUGGAAUCCACAAAAUAAAAAGGUUGAGAAUAUGCCUGAAAGCAUCCAAAGGAGGGAAGCAAAGCUAGUAGAAGGGUUGGAAGGCUGUUUCCCAUAAAAUAAAAUUUGAUUGAAAAAACAAAAAACAAAAAACAGGAUUUGGAAGCAUUUCAGCAAUGUUUAUAUUUUCAUAUGUUAGAGCAGCACUGGAAAAUAGAACCUUGAAUAUGUUUCAAAGUCUAUUCUGAUAACGUAAAACAGAAGUGAUUUUAGUCUACAUUUGGAGAUAUUUUGGCACUCAGAUUCUGUAGAGCUGAUUUUCCUUAACUGUUCUCUAAUUAAUUUAACAAAAAUUUCUUGCUCAUUCUCUUAUUCUAUACAACUUUUUAUUAUUAUUAGUAGUAAAGCAGUGCUUUUUAUCUCUACACAUGCCUGUGUAGUAGAAAUGUGUUAUUUAGAAUUAUAGUUCUUUGCCUUAUAGCCUUUUUAUUUUAUGUUACAUGGUAACUGCUUCAGAGAAAUGGUAACUAGAUGAUAAUGUAUCACACAUCAUUAUAAUGUCCUCUGAUAAUUACAAUACUCAUGCUUUUUUAAUUAAAAGCAAAUAAUCCAGUCUAAUAGUCAGAUAAGUCUAUAGAUUCAUUUCAGGAAUCUAAGGCGAGCUUUAAGCCAAAACGAUAUUUUGUAAGUAUCAGGUGCUAAAAACCACUUCUAUAAAACAAGAAAUAAAUGACUUGCUAGUAUAUAAUUUAUGAAGAAAAUAAGCUAAAACAAAUGAGUUCUCUUAUCCCAUUUUGCUUUGUCAGCAACAUUAUGGGAUGAGAGCACAGCUACCAUUUAUGAAAAGCACAGCCUCUGAAAAUACAUUUGAUGUCUUUUGAUUUUAAACUCUCACCCCAGAUCAUGCGUAAUUCUUUGAGCAAUCACUGUUUUUACAUCAAUAAAAAAACAGAUAUAAGAUUUUAUGUAUGCCAUUUUGACUUAUGGAUGGCGCAAUAAGAUCAGUUGAGCCUUACCACAUACUUUAUUGUCUGCUUUGAAAUGAAUAUCUGCAUAAUUGGGAAAGCAAAAAUCUUUGGUAAAAGAAUUUAUGAAUUGAAUAAAACUCUCUUCUGCAACAUGGAUUUCUAUGAGGUGAGUUUUUUUUUUUCUUCUUUUCAGUUGAAAAGUAUCAAGAGUUAUGAUGCGUAUCCAUAUGUAUUUCUUCCAAGAAGUGUUCCUUCUUUUUGUAUUUAAUACUGAAACUUUCUCUUGACUCCAUUUUACUAAGCACUCAGUAUUUAAAAAUAGACUGCAUCUCUUGUAGUCUGAUACUUGCCCUUGUCAUGCCCUUUAACUGUUUCAUUGCCAGAUUUGGGGAGCUUGCUUAAGCAGGUAGGUAGGAUUAUAUGGUCUCCAGACGUACCGUAUCACUUUCUAUAGCUACUUACCUGAAGGGAGGCUGUAUUAAGGUGAGGACAGCUUCUUCUCUCAUAAAACAGCAAUAGGACCAGGGUGAAUGGCCUGAAUAUGAACAAGGAGAGAUUCAGGUUGGACCUUAGGAAAUACUUCUUCCCUGAAAGUGUCACCAGACUCUGGCACAGGCUGCCCCAGGAGGUGGUGGAGUCACCAUCCCUGGAAGUGUUCAAGAAACAUUUAGACGUACUGAUAGACAUGGUUUAGAGGGAAAUUUUGGUGGCAGGUUGACAGUUGGACUGAAUGAGCUUAUAGGUCUUUUCCAACCUUGGUGUCUCUAUGAUUCUUUGGUCAUAUAUAAAGCUACUACAAAGCACUUGUGUUAACCUCUUGUUAAUAGGUUAACAAGUUAACUUGUUAACCUAUUUCAGGGUUGUUUUCAAGAUUCUUCUUUGAGGGCAUUUACCAUAUUUAUCCACAUCACGAAUCUUCAUAUAUCAAGAAUCACUAAUCAUUGAAUCACAGAAACAUUUGAAUUGGAAGAGAUCUUUAAAGGCCAUCUGGUCCAAUUCCCCUGCAAUGUACAGCUGAAUCAGACCUGUACAGCCUGACCUUGAGUGUCUCCAGGGACAGGACAUCCACCACCACCUCUCUCAGCAACCAGUUCUACUGCCUCACCCACCCUCACUGUAAAAAACUUCUUCCUUAUAUACGAUCUAAGUAUUUUUGUAGACAUGACCCUCAUCUUGCUCAUGCUUAGUUCUGCUCUGUGCAGCACAGCCUUGCAUAAGUAUUACCCACAAGCACUGGCUGAAGAUGAAUAGCAUGGUUCAGCAUAGUACCAGGGUCUUCCUGUAGCUCUCGGUGCUGCCCAAGGAAUCAAGAUCAGUCAGUUCUGCCUCAAAUUUCAUAAAUUAGUGAAGCAUUCCUUUCUGAAAUUCUGUGAUGGAGCAUGUAAUUAUCACCAAAAUCCACAUCAAAUACCCAAUAUCUCAAGUAAUUACUGCAGUACCCAGUAGCUGCUGCCUCAUCUAGAAUACUUACUUAGAGAAAAAACAUUUAAAGAAAGAAAAACUUUAAAAAAAUUAAAGGGUUGUUAAGGUUUUGAUGCAACAUCCACAAAGUAGCAGAUGUGCAAAUGAUAGUGAAAUGAGAGAUGCUGAGAGGGGUGCAGAGGGACACUGGCAGCUUCCAGAAAGCUACCUUCCCUUCUUUUGCUUUCCAGUUCUUAUGUAAGGGAAAGAUAAUUAUUCAAUGUGCAUCCUCUUCAGACCUUACAUUUCUAUAAUUAAGCAAGAACAAUAACCCGGAAGAAAGCGAUGUAACCCUAUUAUCUCCUAAUUUGUUAAUGUUGUUAAAUUUUUGGCAAAGGGUAUCUACCUGCUCUUUGUCAACUGUGUACUGUAGCUAAUUAACUCAGGUAAAAUAGGGACAGCCCCACAGGCACGUGGCCUUCAACCUCAUGUCAGGUGCAAUGAUCCUUUUCCUCAUUUAAAUAAAAAAAAUAAAUCACAGAGUCUUAAUGUCCUGCUCAUCUGUAUGGAAUUGGAAGAAACUCCAGUGAAAUGGGCCUCUGAGCCAUUUCAAGUCAUGUUAUUCAAUAAAGUGGCGUUUUAGCAGUUUCAUCUUUACACUGGUAUUAAAGCUUUAGGAUUAGCAAAGCCUAUCCUUAAAAACAAAAAUAAAAGCAAAAAGGGAACAAGUGAUGUCCUUCCAGCUUCAUGGCAACAGUGCAAAGUUUUUCAGGGCAAAAUACAGUUAUAAGAACUGAGAAUUUUCUUUUGACAGGAUUUUAAAAUUUCACCCCAUACCAAAAAUGUCACUUUUUCAUUUAAAUCACUGCCUUAAGUGUUUACAAACCGGCAGAUAUAGAUUUAUUCAAUUGCAGAAUGAAGAAUGUAGAAAUUUAAUAUAUUACUUUAUGUUUAAAUAUUAAAUGGAUUAAUGAGAUGGCACCAUCUACCCUUCUCCUGUAUGCAAAAAAAACAACCAUUUUGAGCAGAAUCACAUUACUCUAAGCAUCCUCUGUGCUCUACACAUAAAACUGAUGCAAUUUUCUGACAGAGUUAUUAAUCAUUUUGAGAAGUUUCUCUUGGAAAAUUCCAGUUACAAAUACCAAAUUGCAUUUUCCAAUAAGAAAUGAAGGAUUAGCUUUUCCCCUUGUUUGGGCUGCAUAAUUUGCAUGUCAAUUAAGAUUAUCCUCAUGAUUUUGUAAUUACUCAAAUCACAUCAAUAAAGAUAGCUUUCUGCUUCAUAUAUAUUUAGCUGAUGUCAGGGUUUUACUUUACGUGUUUACUUUUGAUACGUAAACACUGGCUUUAAAAGCCCGUCCCCUCUAACUCUGACAGAUUUUCUGUUUCUUGUUUAGCAUGGCCUGUUCUUAAAAAAGACUAAUCUUGAACAGGAUAAAAUUGAAAGAAAACAAAUAUUCCUAGAAAUAAUUUUCUUGAAUGUGGCUGUAAGUUAUUUUAUUGUAAGCUGGGGCCAUGCUCUACAGAUCAGAACACAUUUUCCUCCUCUGUUUUCAACAGAGAGGGAUACAAUACCCUACAAAGGUACAUGUCUGUGAAAAUAGUGUCUAUUUUUUUGGCUUUGUUCAAUAUUUCUCUAUUAACAAAAAAAGUUUCACUUAGGAAAAAAAAAAACAGGGCUUAACCAAGGAAAAAACACAGAUAGAUCUGUGAUGCUGUGGAGAAAAUAAAAAGGAAAUUGUCAUUUGGAAUAUGACAAAGUAUUGAGGAGCAUUGCUAAAAUAUUGCUAGAUAUGGGCAAGAACAUCACUAUGGGAAACAUAAGGCCGCGGUGUAUUGGGCUGUCUCUGGACUCUGCUACUUGGGAACCCAAUUCACUACUGGGAUAUGUCCACCCAGCAGCAAGGUACAAGGAAUGGAGGGCACUCAGGCUCAUUUGGGCACAGAGAAAUAUCAUUUGAUCUGAAAGCAGCAGGGCCAUGACAGAAAAGCACCAAGACAUUAUUUAUCUCUUUGGUAACAUACCCAGAACAGUGGCUCACAUGGGACUGGAGGAGAAGCUUGUUACUGUCAAAGAACCACAAUAUACCUAUGAAGAAAUUAUUUCAGUUUCUUUCUGCUUCUUCUAUUCUACAACGCAUUCUUAACACUGUAAUAUCCAUUUAAGAGGAGAGAAGCCAUAAAAAAAUCUAUUAUUGUGAAAUGUACUGCCAGGGGAAUAUAAACAAUAAGCAACCUGGAAAGUGAUGCUCUGAACAAACAAAUACCUUUCUUUAUCAGCAACAGUUUAAGUGUUUUGGUCACUGCCAAAUGCUCUCACUGUGAGUCCCUUGGUGUCAGCAGGAAAAUCCUGAGUGAAUACAAUGCAAACUAACUAAAUUGCAAAAUCUCUUUAUACUCUUUGCAUUUGAUUAAGGUAAAAUGACCAAAAGAUAAGCUGAAAUCUCAAAACAAUCUUAAAAAUUUCCAUAUAAAUAAAACCAAAACAUCACAUACCUUGCUCUCAGACAUCUGCUGCUAGUCACAGAGAUAUAUAAACGUGGAGAAAAGACUUAAUAAAGUAACAGCAUGAUGAACCUUUCUAAAAUACCUUUUAAAAUAACAGCUGUAAAAAACUGUGAAAGCAACAGUACUGAUAAUUCAAACUAAAAACAAAAAAUAACUGGCCAUGGGAUGAAGAGAAUUUCUGGAGGUGUAGGAUGCCAUCCCUUGAGGGAGGCCAGACCAUAGCUAUGCAACUGAGAACAAAUGUUUGUUUAACCUGUGGGCAUCAAUGGAGAUAGAGAACCAAGAGGACUUUUCAACUAACUUCAGCAUCACGAGGCUUUUUCUAAAGCCUAACCUAGAUUUCAUUUGCUAAAAAUUAAUCCCAUUAUUUUGUACACCAUUCUAAGUGGACACAGAAUAACGUAUUACUGUCUUUGCAAGAACUCUCAAAUGGCUCUAAUUAUACUAACUACGCUUUUAGAUGGUUAUAAUUUUAAACAAAAUCAGGUAAUUGGAAGAUUAACUACUGACUGCAAAUAUUGCAGCUUAAAUAAAAUAUAGGGUUUUUUUGUUGUUGUUGUUUCUUUCCUGGUAUUAGUACCAGGUAUUUCAGUUAAAAAUUAGAUAAACACAAUUAAUUCAUCCUUACCCCACACAUCCAGUGCAUUUCCUUCUGUUGCACAGACACACACACAGAUAUCAUUUCCAAUCAAAGUCAAAUCUACUAUCUCAGCCAUACUUUGCUGUUGCCCUUCUAUUUCUAUCCAACUUCAGGAAGUCGGGAGAAAAAUGUUUGCUUCUUCUAUCUAUAUAUUAUUAGUUUCCCUCUGCCAUUCCCCCCAAAAAAUAAGGAUUGAGUCCAGAGUCCCAGGACUCUCCUAUCUGCUGCCACAGGACGAAGAGGGCAUCUGUGACUUCUUUCUUAUUUUCCCUUUCUUGUUUUUCUCUGAAGCACUUCUUCCUUUUUGAAGAAGCUAUUUUUAUUUGACAUGUCCUUUAUAAGCAUUCCCUGAGGACCCUCAAUCAAAAGUGUCUGAUACUACAGAGAGCUUUUUCUUUUUGUGAUAUUUAAGCCUAACUUGGUGGCAAAGUUGUUAUUUUUAGCUCAUCAGAAAAGCUUUUUUCCCUCCACUCCAGGGCCACGUUGCAGCCUUUGUAAUUUAUCAUCGACAUGAAUCUUUUCCAGAUCAGCCAAAUUCCAUUAUAAACCUCAUGUUUAGCUCUUAGUAAAAUCUUAGUAACAUGCAAGUAGCUUACAUAUGAAUUGCUUAAAUGUACCUGCUUUGCGAUGGUAACCAAUUAUAUUUGUUGUUCCUUUUCAAACCCCUCACUCCGAGACUUUCCACCUCUGAGUUACUGGAUUGCAGCCUAUGAGUUUUUUACUUUAUAGUGGACUGCUCUGGAAAUUGUUACGUGCCAAGUCAGGAUGGCAGAACAGUCUUUUAGGAAAAUAAAUAUAUACAUAUAUUUUGAUCCAAAAUAAGCUGAUGACUCUGCCUGAAUUGGUGCUUAUAGACCAAAUAUUCAGGGCUAAAGUAAAUAUGACUCGUUUUGCAGACCAUAGAAUAUAUGCAAGUAGUGCUAAAGAUGCUGAGUGGGCAAUAUUUUCUUCUAGAGAAGUGAUUAUGAUUUUUCAUCUGUGUUUAUGUGUGUUCAAUAGUUUGAUGGUCUAUAAGAAUCUUGAUCCAGAAAUUUAUAUAAUAAACCAUUUAGAAAUAAAAGUAACAACCAGGAUAUAAUCCGUGCUAUACUUAUUUUUAGCUCCAGUGCUUUGCAGUGGAGGUUUCAAGAUCACCUUUUAAAGCAGUAUCAGCUCUCGUACCAAAAGAUCCAUCUUUUCCAAACAUGUCCCUUGCCGUUAAGUGAAGCACUUGCUGAAGCGUGGAACAGUUAUGAUGAACACAGAGGUGGUUCCUAUAAAAUCAGAGUUAAAAAGAAGAAGAACAACAACAUAAAAAAACCCUUCUGUGAUGAUGGCCAAGAAAUUUUAAAAAUAAAUGCCAAAACUAGGAAAAAUACAUUUCACUGUGUUCUGUUUUUCAGAUAAUUAAAUGAAAUAGCUAGAGUUGCAAAUUUCAUUUUGAUAUAUGCUUUCUUAAAAACAUGCCCAAUCACCUAAGUAGCAAUAGUUGUAUUAAAUGAUGCAUACUAAAUACUGAUGUUUAACAGAAUACUAUAAGAUGUUGUGCCAGAAGGAAAAACAGAGAAAUAGCUUUGGCUCUUUUAACGAAUCGAUUUAAAACAGAAUCUCCAGAAAAAUGAAGCAGCCAACAUUAUUUUUCUGAGAUGCACACAUAUAUGACACAGAGCAAUAGAAUUCAGGGAGACAAAUAUCCCAGUAGCUAAAAUAAAAUGUUACUGCUAUCAUUAGUACUAGUCCUAUGGUCAAUCAUUGCUAUCUGACACUGGAGAUGGAUAGCGAGAAGAAUUGAGUUGGAUUUCAAAUUAUAAAAAAUAGAAUAUAUGUGCUUACAAAUAAAGAAAACAACCAGCAUAACACGGGGGGAAAAAAGGACUUGUCCUUUAUGAAUCUGUUUUUUACUGAAAGUCCUGGCUUACAAAAGCAAUUGGCACAAGCUAUUUAGGUGAGGUUGUGAGUUUUAAGAAAACAGAAUAUUGUUAACUUUCACCAGUUAACUUUCUCUGGCUGUACUGAGGAUUUUUUCUUAAGCAUGGCAAAGGCAAUGUCAUUUCUCCUUGACAGAAUCUCUGAUACAUUAUAAGAAUGGAAUUUGCCAUUUGCUGCAUAGCAGUGACUUGCUUUCUGUAAUUUGCCAUAAAAAUGCUUCUACCUGAUCAGUGCUAAUUAUGAAUUAAAUUGCCACAGGAAAAAAAUGAACCUAUUUUUUGAUUCCUUCUAAAAGCAGACUGCUGUAGUCUCCUUGCUCGUAAUAAUCAUUCCCCUCUUCCCAACAAUUUCACUCACCUUUAACUCACAAAAAGGGCAGUAUGUACUGAGACCUUCUUUACUUCUGUUUUAUAAACAGGCUUUCUCCCCUCCCUGUUCCUGCAAUGAAAUGGUUAAGACUACAUUAGAGAUUCAACCUAAUGAAAUUCACAAGAAAAAAAAAAAUAUUUUUUUUUUCCCCAGUACUUCCAAGAAUACACAUAUUUUAACAAUCAGGACAUCCAUAUUUGUGCCUUGGUGUAGUACGUAGUACACACAUAACUCUGGGAGACGCUCUGCUUGUUGAAGGGAAAGUCUCCACACAAUCCCUGUUGGCCUAAUAUCAACUACAGCAAAAUCUUUGUUGUUGCUUGAGAAAGCACUGACAAACUGCUGCUUUUCAUUAACUGGUCUCCUCUCUCAUGAAAAACAAUUGCAUAAGACAUUCAAAUGGGAAAACAUACUUACAUCUGCAAUUCCACCAGCUGUCUGCCUCUACUCUGAAACUCAGGAAAGAGAAUCUUUCAUGGUAAACUGUAAGAUGCAAACAUUCACAACACAUAAAUAUGUUCUUUGAAUAAUGCUACCUUUAUUUAUGACAUUUUAUGCAUAAUAGUUUUUCCUCUCUCCCCAGAUGUUAUUUGUUAGACAUUUGUAAAAUCUGAGGCAUUAGACUCCUUUCAAUGUGAUAUUUUUAUGUGCAUUCCGAAGUGGACUGGUUGGAAAACAAGAUUAUGUGAUCUGUAUUACAUUUUUGGCACAAAGCUCACAGUAUUAAAUUCAGCAUAUUUGUGAUAACAGCAAAAGUUUUGAUAACACUUUUGGUCACACAAAGAUACAGAAUAACUAACCCUUCACAUGUCACCCAUCACUGCCCUUAUUCCUAUCCCAAAGCUAACAGCUCUCUAGAUUUCAUUGAUAAACACCGAUAUGAUUUUGCAUAUCAUUUGUCAUUGCUGUUUGACCCUUUCCUAGAUCUGUUUUCAGGUGUGUGAACAUCUUUGGAAGCUCCAAGACCCAAGGAGCGGCAGUGAUCCAUCAGAAUGUAGUGGAGCAGGAGCUAACCCUGGAUGUGUGUAUUUUUCCCAUUUACAGGUAGUGGGAUGCUGAAAGCAGUUGAGAAGUUGCCCAUGGCCAGGAUAAGCAACUGCUUUAAUGCUAAUAAAGUUGCUUACUUAGUGAGUGCAGCUCGCCCUAGGUGUAUUUAUUUGAUUUAAAGAGGAACAUCUCCACAAUGUCUUUAAUAGCGUAGAUUCUUUGGUGAUGCUGAAAAGUAGACUUUAAAUUAGGUUACCUGAAUUAAUUAUCUCAGAGCUAUUUUCUUUCAAUUAGCUGUUUAUGAAAAGUUUUUUUAAGUCAGUUAAAAUCUUUUGCAGCAAAUAUCAAUGAAUCUAUGCUGGUUUAUCUAAGAUUUUGCCUUCUAGAUGGGAAAAGCUCAGUAUUCUUACCGCUGCUUACAUAAAGUGGCAUUCCUACAGCCAUUGGAUGAAACAUGCCUUUAAUUGAAAUACAUCAAACAAGAGGUGCUAGAUACAACAUGAAAACCACAUUUUAAAAUAUAAGUAAGUGUUUUCGCACUCAACAUCCAAUUUUUUCCCCUAAUGAUUUGUGUCUGCAGUAUACAAUAUAUUUUGGCUCACCUAGAUGUUUAAAAGAUAAGAAAAUGAUUCUACUUAUUGAUUUCCUUUCACAUGUAGCAGAUAAAUCAAUAGGAUGUGUAGAUGAAGGUCUAUUAAAAUCCUUUCUGCUGACAUCACUCUUGCCUGAAGGUUUCUACAAUGAUGACCCUGGAGUUUCUCUGUGAGAGGCCAUUCAAACAAAAGAAUAUAGUAAAACCAAAUGUCCUCUGUGGGUUUAAGCUAUAACUUCUCCUUUGUAGAAUAGCUUACGUCUUAAUUAAUAUUUCUGCUACAAUGCAGCCACAGUUUGCUGGGACAAAACCAGAAAGCAGAAAUAAAAAAAACAGGUAUAAUAUUUCAUUGUUCAUUUUAAAGAAACCCAACUACACUCAAACAAAUGAAAGCUACUGUCUAAUACAAGAGAGCUCCCAUAUCCAGUGUUUCUGAAAAGCUGUAUGCUAAGUACUAUAUAGACGCUAAAGGUGUCCCGUCCUUUGUACAACUGUUGUGAUUACUGUAGAUCAGUACAAAACAGCUCUUUAAAGUUUUCUAAUGAAGUGUCCAGAAAUCCCCCAAAAGGAUUCACGAUUCUAGGACUGCUGUUAUUAUUUUAUAAGCAUCAUGUUCAAAGGAAAUUUCAAGAGUGACUUGAAAUAGAUAUAGCAUGAGAUGGUUUUGCAUUGCUCACACUGACCUGUUUUUUCUUAGCAUGACAGGCAGCAUGAAAUAAGUAUGAAGCAUCUUAGUUUGAAAAUGUCACAAGUGAAUUCCCAAGUGCAGGAUCAGAAUCACCACCUGUUCAGAAAGACUUGAAAAAGCACAGACAGCUUCUGAAGAUGUCUGAAGCUAGAAACAAGAAAUGAAGAGAAGAUGGAAGGAGUGAAGAGACUGACAUUCUCUUUACUCCCUCCAUCCUCUUCACAUGCAUUGAAAGUGAGCUAGGAAAGCCAUCUCCUUAAGAAUAGCUGAGACAGGAAGAAAGGAUAAGAUGGGCAAGCGGGCAGGGGAAAAAGCAUGAAUGAGUCAGGUUGUCAACAAAACAAUUAGGUUGGUCUGACAUAAUUGAUUUUGACAAAUCUAAUCUUAUUGACUUUAUUACCUUUUCGCCCCUGCUCACAAAUUGAUUUUUUUAAUAAUUUUUCAAAUUAUGCUGUUCUGUUCCAGAGUUUGAUGUGUUUCUUUCACAAUGGCCAAAUAAAUAAAGUUAUCCUCUAUUACCAUUCUGUCCAUUGAAUGAAUUUUGUGAGGGCUAAAAACUUCCAUCAAUCAACUUGCUAUGCACUGCAAGUGCAUAGUUAUUUUGCAUGAGUUACAGAAUGUUUUGUUUCCCAUUUACACCUCGAGAACUGAAAACCCUGCUUUUUUAUAGCAAGACAUACAAAGCUACAGUACAAAACAAGUACGGGGAACAAUACCAGGAGUGAAGGCUCCUCUCCUAUUAUAAUUAACAAAGCAGUCUAAGCAGUUGAGAAUCCAAAGGCACCAAUGUGCUGUUAGGCUCUGGAACAGCUAUGAUAGCGUAAGAGUUAGGCAAAUUACUUAAUGGCUUCCUAUGCUAUCAGCAAAGCAUAAUUGCAGCUCUGUUGGGUAACACAUGGAACAGUCAUGAUUCAAAGCUUUCUUUCUGCUUUGUCUACUAUGCCAUCUGCUUGUUCCUUACAGAGCUUCAGUCUGGCAAGUGACCCACUUGUUGCAAUGCAGCUUGGCAGAGAAGUGGUGUUACAGAAUACUUUGUCUAUCUGUAUCUCUUACAUGUUCAAAUUUAGAAAUAUUCAUAAGGUUACCUCUCUAGUGGCAUGAAGUAAACAGUAGCAAAGCUAUCUCUUUGCUAUUUCUGUAAUGAAGCAGACUUCCUCCAUUUAUUGCUAGGAUAAUCCAGUCCUUUUGGAUAGGAUAAAGCAAACAUUUCCAACCUGGAGUUACAGAUCAGGUCUUGGUAGAUUUAGGAAAUGUGCUCCAUUUCAGAGAUUAAAUCAUGUACACUUGGCUGAGAAAUCACAGAACCAUCUCCUACUUUUGAUGACAUUACACUAUUCUGACUUAAACUCACCUGUCAGCUCACCAGAAAAACUAAAUCAGGUUUACUUAAAAGUGGAUGAUGUUUUUAAAACUUUAUUUCCUAAUUAAAAUACUAGUUCUAAAGCCAGUUCACACUCAGAAGUUUCAAGCAUUCAAAUACUUUUUGUAAAUAUCACUACUCUAAAAAUACCAUUUUUAAUGUCCCGUGAUUCUUUUUCUUUUAAUGGCCAACUUGCUAAGAAGUGAAGUUUUUCUCUUUAGAAAAAUCAGAACAGAUAACGAGGUUCAUAUCAAUUAGUUGUAUUACGAACAAAAUUGUAUUGCCAAUCACUGUUACAGACUAAUGGGUAAUGACAUGAAUUUACAGUGAGAGAAAUAAUUACUCGUUAGCUGCAAAUAUUAUGUUUUGCAACUCAUAAUUUUCUAAGAUAGACAAAUGUAAUCAUAAAAAUAACUGAAGCUAUAUGAUGGAAGAAUUUCAUUUCAGAAGUUGCCAAGAAAAAUGAAAAUGAGAAAUAAUUAAAAGUAAAUGAAUAAUUGGAGAUAUUGUUUGGAGAACACAGUGUUAGUGUGUCUUGAUGUUUCUGGAUUUUAUUCAGUUUAUUAUCUUUCUCUUACGCAAGAACAAAGAUGUGGAAAACACGUAACUUCAUGUCUAACCUGAAUGUUACGAAGUUCUGUGAAGCAGAAAGACAGGAAAAUCACCAGCAGGCUUAAGAAAUGCAAUAGAAAGCCUUGAAAACAUCAUCUCUAAGUAUUGUGGUUGAGUAUAUUAAGUAGUAAGAAUUUGAAUAUACCAAUUAAGCACCACUGCUGUUACAUAAAGUGGAAUACCCUAUGUCAAAGCCUCUAUCAGGUAUCUUUGGAGUUGGGGUACAAAUUGAAGGGAAAAAGAAAUUUAUUACUCAGAGAUAUAAAGCCUGAAGAUAUGCAGCUGCCAAUGUUUAUGAAGUAAUAUAAUAAACCACAGUGCACAGCAAGUACAUUUACAGAAAGUGGUUACCAGUAUAGAAUUCAUUAUAGAAGAGUAAACUGAACUUUGAACCUAUGAAAAACUGUUAUUUGCUUUCAUUGAUUUGAAGUGCUGGACAACCAUGGCUGGAUUCAGUAGCGUGCAUGCGGGUGCAAUACUGAAAAUACAUACCACCAAUGUCAGGAGUAUCAUGGGAUGUACAGCAUUGCUGUAUCUGCCAGACAUCCUGCAGAACAACGAAUGGCCUAUUUUCACCAAAUCCACUGAACAGUAUGAAAACUGCUAAGCUCAGUGUCUACCCGGUAUUCAGACUGCCUGGGGAAAAAAAAAACAAAACAGCCCACUGACAGAUUGUGUUGAGUUCUUCUCUGUGGUGUUGCUGAGCAUAUCCCACUGGUGGACAAGGUGAGAUUUACAGACAGGCUAUUGGGAGGUGAGAUGUGGCACUGUGUAGGGCAAGCAAGAGGGAAAUCUGCAACACCAUGCUCCUUGCAGCACUAUCUUCAAUAGAGAAGGUAGCUGAGGAUGAAGGAAUUGUCAUUACCACCAUCUAACACAUGAACGCACCUCACCAGAAUUAUUUUCACCAAAUUUAAAGGAAAUAAACAUGUAAUGAUAAUGUACCACUCAAAUUUUCAGGAAUUUUUGUUUGUUUUUGAUAAGGUAGUGAAGCCCUGGCACAGGCUACCCACAGAGGUGGAUGCCCUGUCCCUGGAGAUACUCAAGAUCAGGCUGGACGGGGCUCUGAGCACCAGAUGGGAGCUGUAGGUAUCCCCGUUCAUUGCAGGGGAACUGGAGUGAAUAACCUUUGAAGACCCUUCGAACUCAAAUGACUCAUACUAUGACUCACAGCAUUUGAAAACCAGUUUAGAAGAGGCCACAUACAAGAUCCAUUUUUUCCUAAAAAGGCAUCAAUUUUGUGUGGAAGAAAUGCUCACAAUGAAAAGCUUUGUAGAAAGAGAAUAUUUCUUUUCAUGCUAAUAGGUAUGUCAUUACAUAAAAAGCUUAUAGGAAGCAGUUUAUAAAACAGCUAUAAGGAAUAUUUUGAGCCAGUAAUUAGAUAGUCUAUCUGAAAUGAGCUUGAAUGUGACAAGCAAAGCCAACCACACUGGGAAGAGAAGAAAUAUUUUUGAAGGCUUAUCUUUCUAUCAAAACAAGAGACAGCUGCUUUCUAGAGACAGCAGCGCAGCUCCUCGGGAAGUGGGACAGCCCUCAAAGUAUGUGCUUUGGGCAGAUGGAAGAAUCAAUGCCAGGACUAGCUGUCAUCCACAGCCAAUAGGAAAUUUCCCUAAGGCAAACAGAAAAUAGAGCCUGAAUCUACAGCUGUCCUUGGUGGCCUAUAAAGGCUAUAUAAUCUUUUCUUCUAGAAUUCUUCACAGAGUAGGGAAUUUUGCAAGCAGGGCAUAAUCUAAAGAAUACGUGACAUUUUCUUAACGCCAUUCCCAUAGACCUGAGACUGCAAUAAUAGUUUCUACGUUUCCAGUCCCCCAGGAUUCAUGCUGCAUAAGAUUUUUCCCAUUUCAGUACUUUUACCUUGCAGCCCUGCCCAGGCUUGAUUUCAGUCUUUCCUUUCCAGGGACCAUGUUCAUCCAUGCAAUACAUUCUCCUCAACCUUUUUUUCUGCAGUUUUCUUUUCCUUUCUCGCUGCAUGCAAAAGGGAGAAAAAAAACAAACAAACAAACAAUUCUUUAACAAUACCAUGCAUCAACAGUAAGGGAACUGAAAGGAAUGUGUCACCUUUUCCAUAAGCAGCCUUUCACAUCGUGCAAUAUAUGUCUGCUCCUACUGAGAGUCUAUUGCUGGAUAAGCCUGAUCACAAUUAUGUUCAAAUUGAGCAAUGUUACCUACAGAAUUAUUUGUUCACAUAAAAUAUUUCUUUCCUCUGAGACUGAUUUUCUAGAUGUUCCUCUGCCCCUCAAAAGAAAAGCGAAAAGCACAGCAAAGAAAAAGUCAGUAACUGAGAUGAACCAAUUCCCUGCGGAAGAAUUGAGCCUUAAGUUUUGGAAAUUCAUCUAUGCAGCUCAACAGGUCCCAGGAAAUAUGGAUCUGUAACAGCUAAAGAUUCCAUAUACGUGGAAGAGGAUUACAAAGCCAAUUGUUUUCAUACGAUGGAUUUAAACAGCAGGAGUUUUAAAUAAAGCCAUUUUAACUCAACAGCCUACAGUGCUUUAGACAAGGACACCAUUAGCAGUAUACUAUCUGUGCAUUUUUCUGACACUGAUCCUUCCAACAAUAAGCGUACUUUUCCCCAGUCUAUUUACUAAAAGAAAAUGAAUCAAAAUAUUGUUUAAUUAAAACUUGUUUUCUUCAGUUUUCUCCCAACCAUUCCAAGCUCACUGCGUGGGAACUUCCUAUUGCCAGAGUCCUCAAAAGGUGUUGUCUCAGAAUAUUAGAUUUCAGUAAUGGGGUUUAAAACAACCUAGGUGCUAGCACAAAAGACAUAAGCAUAUGCAUACAGGACAUGUAUUUUCAAUGAGCUCUACUUUCCUUCUAUUCUAUGGACUGCUUAACUUUUUUCUUCAUUCCUUUGCUUUCUAUAUUUGAGUUUCAGUUAGCUUCUACAGUGUUUUUGUUUCAACAGAUCUUCUAACAGAACUGAUAGGACUGUUAAAGGAUAGCUAUCUCCCUUUCUUCAUUACCGAACAUAAAACAGCAUCUAUCUACACAAAUGACUGAAGUUUACCCCACAUCUGAAAUCUUUUUGAGAUAUAACACAGAAUCUAAUUGUUUGCACCGGAUUUUACAACACUGUGCUUAAGACAGUGCUGAUGCAUCAUUCUUAGCUAUUCUAAAAUAAUUGCACCCCCAUAAAAGCAUAGUAAUUCUCCUUUCUUAGAAUAAACUAUAGAGCAUUUCAUUGCUUCUACAAAUUCAAACUGAAGGGAAGAGGAGGUGUGUACUUCUAUCAACACAUAGAGCUAAUGAUUGGAACUUUUCAGUGAAGUCAUUUUUGUUUAUAAAAUCCCCUGCCUAGCUUUAUCUCUGUAGUCCAAUGAAGCUAUUUAAUGUGUAAAAAUACCUCAACAUCCAUGUCGUUUUACUUCAUUGUGAGUAUGGAAACACUAUACAUAUCUGAUAAUAUGCACUUCAACAAGAGAUAGAAUCCAGCAGCUGAAAAACUAAUUUACAGUGUAAGAUUCUUGGUGGUAAAUAGGAAUUAAAGUCUCAUUCAACUGAAAUCAGUGGUGGAAGUACCAUUAGUUUCACUUGGGCUGGAUUUCAACUGGUUUCAGUUUUGUUGAUCCAACUCAUGGCAUAAUCAAGCUUAAGCGUAGGAAUCUAUAUUCCCAUUGAAAUCCAUUAUUGUCAACACAUAUUCAAGCCCCAAGGUGCUAAACAUCUAGCAAUCUUAUCCAAUAGGUAAUGCCUUCUCAAAGAUGUCCUCCCUCCACCCAAUCCUCAGUUGCAGCAUCACUUUUUGAUUAGUCUGACUGCACAGAGCCACUUGCUGAUGAGUGGUUCUCAGCCUCAACAUUCUUGACAGGUUCUUAAAUCUGCAAAAAAGCUGAUUCCGCACUUAACACUAAACCCAGGCCACACACCAGUCAGCUCAGCUCUGUAGUGCAAAUGCAACUGAGACAAAGCUUUCCAAUAAUUCUUCAUUUGGCACUGGAAAUGCAGUGAGUCCAACUCAAGUAUGAAUAAUCUAGUGAGGCACAUUCCAUCUCACAAGUGGGGCAGGGAAAGUCCCCAGAAAGUCUUGAGGUUGUGGUCUUCCUUAUGUUUUGAGAAGCAGAGAUUCAUGCUCAUCUGGAAGUAAGACCAGGUGAGGGACAGCAAGGGAGUGAAUAGCCCCUGAUGUUUUCUGAUUGUAUCCAACUUAAAGUAAAUUUCAUCCUGACCUGAAUCACAUUUACCAUACUGAGAGAGUUUUUUAGAUCUGGUAAGAGAGCUGCACAUAUUUUUCCCCAUUUUCUUUGCUGAAAUUCUUGGUAAAAAAUUGCCCUUAAUGCAAACUCUGCCAUAGAAUGUGAUUACAUCCACACAUGCUCCUGCAGUUUGAAAAUCAGCUGUAAAGAACUACUGACUUUCUCUCCUAUCUGUUUCUUUCCAUAUUGUCUAGUGCUGGUUUCUAAUAAGAACAUGCUGUAAGCUCUGGGAUUCAUUUAUUUCAUUCCUUUCCAUUACUACUUCCAUUGAGAUGUUAUGUUUGCAGUUACAAUCUGAUGGAUUUUAAAUUAACAGUAAUAGAAGGAAUAUUAAAUUGCCGGUGGACAAAAUGUUAUUAGGAAUAAUAAUAUAGUCUGAUGUUCUUUUUUAAUGUUCAGUUUUAUGAACUAAGUAUGAAAAUAUUUAAAUAAUGAAAGUAAUUGCUUAUUAAAAUCAUUAUUGUGCAUAAAUAUUUAUAUUCCCAAUCAGCGUCUCCUCAGAGGUACAUCACUAGCUGCAAUGAAAACAAUGUGUGUAUCGUACACGCAAAAACAUAUUUCCAGUUCUUCUCUUGGCACACAUCACCACUGUAUAAUCACUCUCAGAGUGACACCAUUCUGCAUGAGCUGAGGACCUGACUUCCAGUUUGCACUUCUGAUUUUAGUGUCUUACCUUUGAGAACAAUGCUGGAUAUCAGACACUGGUGAUUCAAAGAAGCAGGAACUCAGCAUUUUUUGGCAAUCGAGCACCUCUGUAGGUGGCAUCCUGGCCUCUUGCAAGUCAAUCUGAUUUUCCCUCUUACUUCAGAUCUGACUUCUCCAUAAAGAGAGCACUUGAUACUUGCAGCUAUAUUCAGAAGGAUAAUCAACCAUACAUUAUUACUUCUGUGACCUUGUAGUGUGACCACUUCAGAGAAACAUGAAAUAUGAUGGGAAAAAAAUAUUAGAUGCCUGAUUCCAUAAACAAGCAAUGAGGUUUACAAAGAAAGUUCUAAAGGCAUGUAUUUUCUAUAUAUCAUCUUCCAGUCCCUCCAAAUCCUGCCUGAUUUCACACUUCUAGAAAAAACCAAAAUGUGACAUUAUAAUAAAGGAAAAUAAAUCUUAAAGAUAAACAUAGCACAACACAGUUGGAAAAUCAAUGAUGAGAUGGCAUCUAAUUGCUUUUCAUCUCCAAAAUGCUGCAGACCACUGUAUUAAUUCACUGCUAUACAGAGCAUUACCAUAUGUAAAUAAUUACAUUAACCCCUGUGCUCUACCACCCUGUCGCAUAUCACAGGGAAGAACAAGCUGACAGUGAAGGCACAGCAGGGUAUAGCAGAGCAAGGUGCAGAAUAGAAGUAUGAUUUCUAAUUAAGAGUCGGGAGUCUUAGAUGACACAUUAUUACUGGGGCUGAACGAGGAUAAAAGAUGAAUGCCUAAUAAAGUAAUGUGAUAGCUAACAAUGAGGUACAAUAGCAAUCCCCUAUUAAGGUACCCUUUCCAUUCCAAGGAUUUCCAUUAAUUUUGGCAGGUCUGGAGGACAGGGAAUAUCUGUAUAUGCAGGCAGUUGAGCACACUUGAGUGAUGACUGACGUAUUUUGAGGUUAGCAAAUCUUACCUGCAUUUGAAGAGAAGCUUGAAUUCCUCAUGGUCUCCAUACCCUGCUUUCUGUUUCAGGAUGAGGAUUUGGUUAUGGUUCCUGAAGGCUGGUUUGUCAUUUAUUGGAUGGGUUACCAUGUCAGAGGCCAUACUGGCUUUUUUUCUGCAUGUUCCAGGAAAGUGUUUCUUAUUCUUUUGUAAUGGAAUGUACCAUAGGUAUGAGGGAAAUAACCUAUGGAUAUUCAAUAUAAAUGAAUUGGCUUCAAGAGAAAAUGUUACCUAUUUAUCUACUAUCUAUUUAUCUACUUAUUUCGAAGUUUAUUUAUGCAAAUGCUGUAUGCAAAUACAGUAUUUUCCAAGUGUGUCCUGCUGAAAUAGACGCCCAAUCCUAUUGUGCUAACAUCUCCUUAUCCAUUUUUCAUUCUUCAGAUCAUUUCACACUUAAAAUACGAUUAUGAGCACUUCAGGUCAUUUCAGAUGCUAGCUCAAUGAACUGGCUGCUAUAUCUUCAGUGCUUUAUAUUUUAAGAAUAGCAUGGACUUCUUUCCUUCCAAUAUACCAAAUCUUAGUCUUAUGCAUCCCUUUCUGAACAUCCUCGUUGCUGAUUGGAGAGAAAGAAGAACGUUACUGAAGAAUGACUUUUUACAUAUAUGAUGCAAAGCAUAUGAAUUUGGAUUCAACUUCUGUGCCUAGUCAAGAAGGCCAAAAAAAUGAUUUGCUACACCCAAGUGACACAUGGCAAUCUGCUUGCUCAUAAGUAUGUUCUGAUUAAUGCAUGCUGGUGAUCUGUAGAAUUUCAUCUAGUCCAGAACACAAUCUCGCUUGAUAAAUAAAUACUAAAUGAAUAGUUUGCAGUAUAAUUUUUCCUAAUGAACUGCAUCUGAAUUACUGUUGUAGCUUGUGACAAAGCCUGUGACAUAAUGCUAAACUUGGGAUUGCCAACAGAAACCUAUUACUCAAUAAAUGUAUAAGAAAAGUUAAAAACUGGGAUCUUUUCCUCAACUACAAGUUUGGUUUCAGACCUUACCCUAAGAAAAAUGCAUAGAUCAAAAUUCCCUUACCUAGAAGAAGGAUUUGAACCUAUGUUUCUGAUGCAUUUCAGAAAAAAGUGGCUUUCCUCAGGCUAUUCUUGAGUCUGACUACAACACACUAAGUUCACAGGCUGCUCCUACCGUAAUGCCGCCUAUACUGUUAUGUCAGCUCACAAGGUCAGAGGAAGAUGGUAGUAUGGAAGUAGAGGCUGAACAUUCCCACCAACAAUCCAUGACAUUUUGUUGCCAUGCAGUAGAUGGCAGCACAAGUAGCACUCUGACAGAAUGGUGUCUGACAGUGGAGUGUGCAUGGAGCAAAGGGUACACUGCAAGAUCAACAGUUUGGGUAAAUCCCCAACCUUCUACCUAAAUGGAUAAGUGUGGAAGACCCCACAAAAGAAUGAGGAAGGCUCCUUGAGUUCAAAAAGGGACAGCAGUGGUUACCCCAUGGAACAAGAAAGAAAACAGUGUGAUGCAAUCUGAAUGCAAAACAGGAACCUCUGCUGCAUUUCAUCAAUGUCUGCCACCUGAGCCACCAUCAGUCAAUGAUAAAAAAAGACAGGAUCACAGUUAAGUCUUCUUGCUAGCUUGAUCUGUGGGAGAUUGUGAUGGACAGACAAGGAUACAAAGAGUUCACGAGCUAAUUUUCCAGGCUGCAAGUACUACAAGUCUUAUUAGAUGAGCUUGCACAUAGAAGACAAAGACAAUAAAUCUAUGAGAGUUUUCUUGACCUAAUAAAACUACUGCCAUGGAACAGAAGUGCAAGAAUAAGGUUCUAGGGAGAAAUCACACUGACUGAUAAAUUUCUCACUAUGUUCUCAGUUAUAACAAAGUUUAUAUAAAACAACAGUUCUCCACUACUACAAUGGCCAGCCAUAUGCCCAUAUGUAGCUACUUCAAGCUACUGUUAAAUCCAUGAACCUAGAGGGUAGGCAAAAUACAAAUAUCAAAAUCAAAUGCCUUCAGCCUUUUUUCUUCCUUACAGAACUGUUACAGAUGAUUUAUUAGUGAAUGGAUACUUGCCAUCUCUUUUAAAAUUAAAAGCCCCCUCAGAGUCUCUGCAGCCCCCUCCAUUACAUUACCAGCAUAUGCAAGCUGCAGUGGUACAACUGGGAGAAGAAUCGGGCUCUCCGAGUCAAAAACUCUAUUUUCUUACCAACCACUAAAAGGACUCAAAGAGUGUAAUUUGAAUCACCCUUAAAUUCCCCAGAAAAUAAAAGCAUAACCAUGUAAAUAGGAUAAGAAGUUAUUAAAGCAUAUAGUUUAAUAUCAGUGCUUUUAUGCUUUGUUUGUUCUGUGGCAGCCAAAGCUUGGAAUAAGAGAUUAGAGACAAGCAUUUGCUCGAUUAGCAUGGGAUGGGGAGGGGUGAGAAGCUGGGGCUAUAGUAUUGCCUCAAACUUCCUUGGAGAGUCUUAGCUAAAAUCUCAGCCCCAUUCCUCCAAUUUCACCAUGGUUUAACAUUUUCAGUUUCUGUGGGGUAACUUUAAACCAGCAGUGUCUUUAGUUUUAACCUGGAUAAUUAGGGGAAAACUUCUGCAUGUGCACCACCCCCAGGGUUAAGUUCACACUUCUGUGAAGCCACUGACAGAAAUGAAAAAUAAUAACAAUACCUAGGAGAAAACUGAACAGAAAAUGGAAAGGCAGAUUAUUGCAAGUAAACCAUAUCCCAGCUCAAUAUCUGAGCACCUCCACUAAGGAGGAAGUGCACAUGCUUCUGAUUAUCUUUUUUGGAUGUCAUGCUAGAGCCUUAUCCAGACAGGAUAGGGUGCACUGUGCCUUCACCUUAAGAGUCUACAUAUACCAAAAGAGUUACUACAACACUCUAGAUCUGACAGUGCUGUGUGUUAGCCACAAGUAUGACACUUAUACACACAAGCACGUGGUUUAGAGGUGAAGCUUGCACUAUGUCUGGAUGGGGGCAAAUUUAUUGUAUUCAGACUCCAUCUGCAGCCUUCAGUCAUGGUUACCUGGUUGGGAUUUGCCUUGAAGCACCGCAGAGUCACUCCUCUGCUAAACAGACUGACUCCUCUUCUUGAGAUGACUUUGUAACUGGCAUAGAGGGUCAGAAUCAUAAAAGCUGCAUAACCUGGAUAUUCCCCAAAAGGCAACCAUGCAUGAUCCAGAUAGUAUGUUUAAGGGGCUGCUAAUUGAAGGGACAAAUCUUUGGCAGGGAUUAAUUAGCACACCUCAGCCUGCAACAACUCAUGAGCAGAGGUCCAUGCCUCGUAAUUUUUGUUUUUAAUUCAGACAGCUUUGCUCCUUACAGUAUCUACUAAAUAUAAAGAAGCAGGGUGAACUAUUUUUACUUGAUAUACCUUACUACAUUUUAAAUAAUCAGGAAGGAAAAAUGCAGACCAAUCUUUUUUUUAUGGUUCUCUAUUCACAGAAUCCUAGAAUCACAUGGGUUGGGAUAGAAGGGACUUCAAAGACCAUCCAAUUUUAACCCCCUGCUGUGGGCUGGUUGCCACCCACCAAAUCAGCCUGCCCAGGGCUCCAUCCAGCCUGGCCUUAAGCAGUUCUUGUUCCAAUUGUACUCCACAUGCAUGCUCUAAGCAGUACAUUAAAUGCAGCCAAAGAAAAGCACAUCUAUUCCCACCCCUCCAAGAAAAAGUUGAUAACACACAGCAGGUCUUCAGAGCUUGGGGGAUUUAAACAAUCUUUGCUCCACACAUUUUAACAGAUAUGAAAACCACAACUUACUCCACUUUGAAGUAGUAAGAUUAGAAGAGGCUCAGCUAAGUCCUUAUGUUUCUAACCAAUCAGUACAAAGUCUGGCUUAGUCUUUCUCCAAUUUGUUUUGAAGCCCAUUUCAUUUUUUCCUCCACCCCAAAGAAAAUACUUCAGCACUGGGCUUUCCAACAAACAACAGCUGAGAUGCUGUGAACAGAGCCCUUGCUGUAAUAAACACUUUCACAUGAAGAGCAGAGGAAAACUGCAUUGCAGAACAGAUUGUGGAUACUGUUUUUCAAA